UACAGAGGUCCCGAGCGUUGUUCGGAUUCAUUGGGCGUAAAGGGUGCGUAGGCGGCGGAGCAAGUCUGAUGUGAAAUCCUGGGGCUCAACCCCAGAACUGCAUUGGAUACUGCUUUGCUAGAGUACUGGAGAGGGAACUGGAAUUUACGGUGUAGCAGUGAAAUGCGUAGAGAUCGUAAGGAAGGCCAGUGGCGAAGGCGAGUUCCUGGACAGUUACUGACGCUGAGGCACGAAGGCCAGGGGAGCAAACGGG
rnacentral:rRNA from 1 species